GUGGGGAAUCUUGCGCAAUGGGCGAAAGCCUGACGCAGCCAUGCCGCGUGAAUGAUGAAGGUCUUAGGAUUGUAAAAUUCUUUCACCGGGGACGAUAAUGACGGUACCCGGAGAAGAAGCCCCGGCUAACUUCGUGCCAGCAGCCGCGGUAAUACGAAGGGGGCUAGCGUUGCUCGGAAUUACUGGGCGUAAAGGGCGCGUAGGCGGACAGUUUAGUCAGAGGUGAAAGCCCAGGGCUCAACCUUGGAAUUGCCUUUGAUACUGGCUGUCUCGAGUACGGGAGAGGUGAGUGGAACUCCGAGUGUAGAGGUGAAAUUCGUAGAUAUUCGGAAGAACACCAGUGGCGAAGGCGACUCACUGGCCCGUUACUGACGCUGAGGCGCGAAAGCGUGGGGAGCAAACAGGAUUAGAAACCCGUGUAGUCC
rnacentral:rRNA from 1 species